rnacentral:rRNA from 1 species
GGGUGAGUAGCGCGUGAGAAUCUAGCCCUAGGAGGGGGACAACAGGGGGAAACCCCUGCUAAUACCCCAUGUGCCGGAAGGUGAAAGAGAAAUCGCCUGGGGAUGAGCUCGCGUCGGAUUAGCUAGUUAGGGGGGUAAGAGCCCACCAAGGCGACGAUCCGUAGCUGGUCUGAGAGGAUGAGCAGCCACACUGGGACUGAGACACGGCCCAGACUCCUACGGGAGGNAGCAGUGGGGAAUUUUCCGCAAUGGGCGAAAGCCUGACGGAGCAAGACCGCGUGGGGGAGGAAGGCCCUUGGGUUGUAAACCCCUUUUACUCGGGAAGAAGAAAGUGACGGUACCGAGAGAAUAAGCCUCGGCUAACUCCGUGCCAGCAGCCGCGGUAAUACGGAGGAGGCAAGCGUUAUCCGGAAUCAUUGGGCGUAAAGCGUCCGCAGGUGGCAGUUCAAGUCCGCGGUCAAAGACCGGAGCUCAACUCCGGGAAGGCAGUGGAAACUGAAAAGCUAGAGGCCGGUAGGGGUAGCGGGAAUUCCCAGUGUAGCGGUGAAAUGCGUAGAGAUUGGGAAGAACAUCGGUGGCGAAAGCGCGCUACUGGGCCGGGCCUGACACUGAGGGACGAAAGCUAGGGGAGCGAAAGGGAUUAGAUACCCCUGUAGUCCUAGCCGUAAACGAUGGAGACUAGGCGUGGAGCGUAUAAAAGCGAGCCGUGCCGAAGCUAACGCGUUAAGUCUCCCGCCUGGGGAGUACGCACGCAAGUGUGAAACUCAAAGGAAUUGACGGGGGCCCGCACAAGCGGUGGAGUAUGUGGUUUAAUUCGAUGCAACGCGAAGAACCUUACCAGGGCUUGACAUCUGGCGAAUCUCGGGGAAAGACGAGAGUGCCUUAGGGAACGCCAAGACAGGUGGUGCAUGGCUGUCGUCAGCUCGUGUCGUGAGAUGUUGGGUUAAGUCCCGCAACGAGCGCAACCCUCGUCCCUAGUUGCCAGCACAGAAAGGUGGGAACUCUAGGGAGACUGCCGGUGACAAACCGGAGGAAGGUGGGGAUGACGUCAAGUCAGCAUGCCCCUUACGUCCUGGGCAACACACGUACUACAAUGGUUGGGACAGAGGGCAGCGAACUCGCGAGAGCCAGCGAAUCCCAGCAAACCCAGCCUCAGUUCAGAUCGCAGGCUGCAACUCGCCUGCGUGAAGGAGGAAUCGCUAGUAAUCGCCGGUCAGCAUACGGCGGUGAAU